rnacentral:rRNA from 1 species
GUGGGGAAUAUUGGACAAUGGGCGAAAGCCUGAUCCAGCAAUGCCGCGUGGGUGAAGAAGGUCUUCGGAUUGUAAAGCACUUUAAGUUGGGAGGAAGGGCAGUAAGUUAAUACCUUGCUGUUUUGACGUUACCGACAGAAUAAGCACCGGCUAACUUCGUGCCAGCAGCCGCGGUAAUACGAAGGGUGCAAGCGUUAAUCGGAAUUACUGGGCGUAAAGCGCGCGUAGGUGGUUUUGUAAGUUGGAGGUGAAAUCCCCGGGCUCAACCUGGGAACUGCCUCCAAAACUGCAUGACUAGAGUACGGUAGAGGGUAGUGGAAUUUCCUGUGUAGCGGUGAAAUGCGUAGAUAUAGGAAGGAACACCAGUGGCGAAGGCGACUACCUGGACUGAUACUGACACUGAGGUGCGAAAGCGUGGGGAGCAAACAGGAUUAGAUACCCCUGUAGUCC